GACGAACGCUGGCGGCGUGCCUAAUACAUGCAAGUAGAACGCUGAAGGAGGAGCUUGCUCUUCCGGAUGAGUUGCGAACGGGUGAGUAACGCGUAGGUAACCUGCCUGGUAGCGGGGGAUAACUAUUGGAAACGAUAGCUAAUACCGCAUAACAGUAGAUGUUGCAUGACAUUUGCUUAAAAGGUGCAAUUGCAUCACUACCAGAUGGACCUGCGUUGUAUUAGCUAGUUGGUGGGGUAACGGCUCACCAAGGCGACGAUACAUAGCCGACCUGGGAGGGUGAUCGGCCACACUGGGACUGAGAAACGGCCCAGACUCCUACGGGAGGCAGCAGUAGGGAAUCUUCGGCAAUGGACGGAAGUCUGACCGAGCAACGCCGCGUGAGUGAAGAAGGGUUUCGGAUCGGAAAGCUCUGUUGUAAGAGAAGAACGAGUGUGAGAGUGGAAAGUUCACACUGUGACGGUAUCUUACCAGAAAGGGACGGCUAACUACGUG
rnacentral:rRNA from 1 species